ensembl:lncRNA
GGGGGGGGACAGUAGAGCAGUUGCGGUGGGGGGGACAGUAGAGCAGUUGAGGUGGGGAGCACCGUAGGGCAGUUGAGGUGGGGAGCACCGUAGGGCAGUUGAGGUGGGGAGCACCGUAGGGCAGUUGAGGUGGGGAGCACCGUAGGGCAGUUGAGGUGGGGAGCACCGUAGGGCAGUUGAGGUGGGGACGCACCCACAAUGUUAAUCUGCCCCGGCAUGUACCGGCCACUGGAUAGGAGGAGUGAGUGGGAACGUGCAGGCCACUGGAUAGGAGGAGGAUGGGAACGUGCAGGCCACUGGAUAGGAGGAGUGAGUGGGAACAUGCA